CUUGAUACAAUUUCAAAUCCCGAUCCACCGACAAUGUCAACCACCGUCCCCCCGAUCUCCACCACCUCUGUCGCCGCCGCAGGAUCCAUCGAGUCCCAGGCCUCCCAGCCUCGGAUCGCCACCCUGGCCUUCCGCGCCUUCAUCAACCACAUCACCGACACCGUCCGCAACGGCCUCUUCCAACGCCUCCCCUGGGCCGAGCUUGCCUACCGCUCCACCUUCGCCAAGCCUGAGUCCUUCUCCGACGCCACCCUCCGCGUCCGCGUCAACUACCUCGCCGUCGUUGCCCUCAUCGUCACCGUCUCCCUCUUCACCCACCCCUUCUCCCUUGGCCUCCUCGCCGCCUGGCUCUUCCUCUACCUCUUCCGCCCCUCCGAUCAGCCCCUCGUUAUCUUCGGCAGGACUUUCUCCGACACCCAAACCCUAAUGGGCCUCGUCGGCCUCAGCGUCUUUGUCGUAUUCCUCACCUCCGUCGGGGUGUGUUAUAAGGGAUUGAAGAGAUUUCAUACUGUGUUUGUAGAGAGCGAGGUUGCGAAUCACCUCAGAUGAAAGAAGCCAUCGACCAUCAAAACUCGUUCCUCGUGCUUCAACCCGAGACCAUGGAGAAGCUCCAGCGACAACACAAUCAGCAUUCGCACUAGCUGAAGCAUUGAGGUCUUUGAGGAACAUAUAUUGGCCAACUUUGACAGAGAAGAAAGCUUUGGAGCACUUGAAGUUUGGGUAUGAAGCUGGGUUGAAAUACAACCGAAUGAACUUUUGGCCAGCAGUGAGAUCAUCAAAUUUUUACGUAAAUUCGUAACGAGAUAACCGUGCUGUGGUGUAUGGUACUUGGCUAGCUGAGGAGGAGGAAGGUGGUGCUUCUUUGACUUGAGAGGUAGUGUUACCAUCUUCUAUGGGGGACAAUCGUGAGUUGAUAUCUCCAGUCCAAUUUCGGUUACUAUAUAAAUCCCGAGAGCUUCCAGAGUAGCCACAGUUGAGUGUGAUAUCUUCCACCGGAGUGUAGAGAGUUGGUGGGUCACUGGAUACAAGUAGGGUAAAGAUGUGAAGAAACAAGCUAGGACAGGUAUAGAGGAAUAAUGGUUGGUUUCAUGUUGGUAUUUGGCAACUGUAUUUUGAAAUUGGUGUAUUGACUAGCUUUUUCAUGAUAAAUAUUUAUAGCAAGAGAAUUCAACAUGUACUAAUUGAGAUGGAUGUGAUGGAAGGAUUAAAAAGGAAUAAACUGCUUCUCCGACUAGAGGACCUUAUUGAAUUUCUGAACUAAGUC